UGAGGAAUAUUGCGCAAUGGGGGAAACCCUGACGCAGCGACGCCGCGUGGAUGAUGAAGGCCUUCGGGUCGUAAAAUCCUGUCAGGUGGAAAGAAGUGUAGUAUACCUAAUACGUGUACUAUUUGACGGUACCACCAAAGGAAGCACCGGCUAACUCCGUGCCAGCAGCCGCGGUAAUACGGAGGGUGCAAGCGUUGUUCGGAAUUACUGGGCGUAAAGCGCGCGUAGGCGGCUAUUUAAGUCAGAUGUGAAAUUCCAAGGCUCAACCGUGGAAGUGCAUGUGAAACUGGAUGGCUUGAGUACUGGAGGGGGUGGUGGAAUUCCCGGUGUAGAGGUGAAAUUCGUAGAUAUCGGGAGGAAUACCGGUGGCGAAGGCGACCACCUGGCCAGAUACUGACGCUGAGGUGCGAAAGCGUGGGGAGCAAACA
rnacentral:rRNA from 1 species